rnacentral:misc_RNA from 1 species
AAAGUCGUAACAAGGUUUCCGUAGGUGAACCUGCGGAAGGAUCAUUCAUAAUAAGUGUUUUCUGGGCACUUUUUAAAAUACCAUACCCACCUUGUGUGCAAUGUUUGUUUGAUUGUAUGGACGCGUCUUUGACGCGUUUGUGCAACUAAACUUAAAUUACCAACCUAUAUUUUUAACAACUUUGUCUUAAAACUAUUAUGAAUACUUAAUUCAAAAUACAACUUUCAACAACGGAUCUCUUGGCUCUC